UCUGCUGCCAUUCUGCCAGGGGGAAAGCACUAGUCAGACCCAGGUUCUGGUACUAUUGGCCUUGGGAACCAGUUUAGCAGGUAACCAGGUGGAUGUUGUGACCGCUGAGGAGACCCCUCACAUACUUCCAUGUUCAAGACUGGAAUAUAGGAAUUUAUAACCAAGGGAGAUAAAUACCAGAAACAAAGGGAGAAUGGAAGAAAAAUAUUUUAAAAUUUACAGGUGCUAUCCGUUUUUAUACCCAAAUGUUAUGCUGUCAGAAUCUAAUACAGCCUUGAUGUCUGGGUUUCACGUGUACGUGUGAAGUACACAAAGGGAUACCAUGUCUGAACACAGCGCUUUUGAAAAGCACUCCUUAAUGUUUUGCCUUUAAUUAAGGUUGGUCUGAAACUUAGUAUGUUGUUCCAGAGUGCUGGAAUUAUAGGUGUGAGACACCACACCCAGUCCGAAAUCAUUUUGAAACCUCAGUGAACCCUGCAACACUCGGAGCCAAGACUGGUCCCUUGGUGAACAGCGUACCAGGGAAACACUGGGAUUGCUGGACUGGCUUCAAAGAGCUUGAGAAAUGACCUUUUGGAAAACGGAACUGCAACCCAUUGGGCAAUAUGAUCAAAGUCACCAUAGAAGCCCCCGCCCCCAGUACCAUUUUUUUUCCUCUGUGGAAAGAGGCAUUCGCAAAGGCCCCUGGAUCAGACUUAAUAUUGCCCAGUAUAAAGUUGAAAGAUACAGGGUCACUUGGGAAUAGUGUCUCAGGUUCAAACCAUCAGCAGAGCCAAAAGUGAAGUGCAUGCCACAUCUCUCGAAAACUGAGAGCAAAGGAAGGCCCACGUCAGUGAAAUCUGAAGUUUCCCACCACAAGCGUAAGGAUGCAAAGCCAGCAAAAACAGAAGGGGCUACGUGCAGGAAUGGAGGAAGCAGGAUCUGGAAUGAGACAGGGACAGCCAAGAACAACUUUGACCUGACUGAGAGUGACUGACAGAGUCUGGUGGGCGAGUGCUGAAGCCAUUGCCCAGCCGAGAGGCCCACAUAAUCACCAAGGAGACAGAUCUUGGGGCUAUGCCUGGGAGGAUCUUCCAGAUUACUGUGUUCUCCUGCAUUUUAGCACUGACUUGGAUUCUGCAGAGAGUGCUAGCCAGCUCCGUUUCUGAGUACCACGAGAGCACAGCCAAUCAAGGAGUGGUGGGAUAGAGACCUGAGGAACACAACUGACAAGGUUUGUGACAAAAUAGAAGACUCUACCAACCACGUUAACAAAAACAUUGCUAGGAAAUUGAACGGCUGGUCAGAGCACCAAAUGCCCAAUGGAGAAGGUUUGCACAGUUUCUUCAGCCUGCAGUUUCCAGUGCUCUCUUCAAGAUACCUUCCUGCCAAAGAGUUAGUGAAGUUUUGUGAUAAAAUAGUUUUCUUAAAAAUGAAAUUUAUUAUUAACUAGUUGGUCAAUUAUUUUGUGUGUAUGCAUGGACCUGAUGACAAUUCCUGGGAAUGGGUUCUCUCCUUCCACCAUGUGGGUUCCAGGAAUCAAACUCAGAUCGGCAGGCUUGAACUUCAUUGAGCCAUCCCACUGCUGAAAAUGCUGCCAGCCUCUCCUCACCGUAGGAUUCCUAACUGAGCUGGAGUACAUCAUAGUCUUUGUUUAGAUGAAUCUUCACAGUGAUGGCUUUCCCAUGAAAACCUACACCCUCCCCAUGCCCCACACAUGGAAAUGUAUAUUCCACUGGUCCCUCAUUACAGGGUUCCUUUCUAAAACUGUCUUAAAGGAAUUUUAGAAGAAAAAUACAGCAGAGAAAAAUGGAGAAGAGGCAACUUCUCCCACUCUUUUGUGAUUUAUGGUCCUGAUUGGUUGACUUUUUUUUAUCGUGUUGUUUUGAAACAGGGUCUUUAUGUAGUGGCUGGCCUGGAACUCUAUCCUCCUGCCUCCUCCUUCCAAGUGCUAGAUCUGGAGACAGGUGACACAACUCUUGGCGACACAGCAAGAGCUUGAAUUUGGCCAGUCUUUAAAAUAUGUGAAAUAUUUGCUUCAACUUACCUUUCUGAAACUAUUGUCUUUGUAACUGAACUUUACAGUGACAAAAGAUAAAACAGAACAGAAAUACCUUAAGCCACCUUGGAGAUUGAGACAAAGAACUGUGACAGUUCUUCAGGAACUGCCAUGCUCUGCAUGGCUCCAGGAACUGUCCUAACGGGGGGGGGUGACAAGGAACAGAAGAAAUGACAAACAGACCGAUCACAUAGGCUGGGCUCUCUGAUGGAGAAGCCAGAGCAUCCCAGAAUCUCAGCAGGUGUAUAUAUACUGAACAGUGAGGUGGGUUACUGCACACAGCUGAACACGGAGACAGGUUUACACUUGGCUACUCUGGGUAGAAAUGGAGCAAUAUUUAGGUCAUAAACAUCUUCGUGGAGGACAAGCUACAGUGGACAUUUUCUGCACACACAGUCAGAUUCUGCACUGGGAUCUGAGGAAGGCUUUUCUAGCUUUCUGACUCUUACCCAGGAAAGGCCAGGCCACCGCCAUGGGUUUAAGACAGUGAGGUCCUUAACAGGCCUGUGCCCUGACAACAACGCACAUUCAACCAGAAAUUCACUUACUCCCUCCAGGAAAUGAUUUAAUAGUGACUAAUACUUUUCAAAAUUAAAAUAUCAUGCUGUGGUUGUAUUUAUGUUUUCUUCACACAUUAGCCUGAGCCUAAGAAAUUUAAACGGAGUAUUAAGUUGAAUAAAAUUGUCAGAGGCAACCAGUAUUUUGUAAUAAUGAGAGAUAGACGGGGGGGGGAGAGAGACAGAGACAGAGAGAGACAGACAGAGAGACAGAGAGAGAGAGAGAGAAGAGACAGCACUCUAAAAGAUGAAUGUUGUAGAAACCAUGAGAAUAUGGACGACUUAUUUUCUCACAAUUUAAAUACAUUGAGUUACUUUUCCAAGGCUGGUCUCCUGAGAGGGGUAAAAAUGUAUUUACUUGGCUUCUAUAUAUAGGAUAACAUGGAAAAUGUAUUCUGAGUUUGCUGAGUACCCUGCCAGAGCUUGUCUUCAUAGGUCUGCUGAUAAUUAAUCAAAUUAACUAGCCUGAAGAAUAACAAGCAGUUUUAAAUAGCACAUAAUGCAAUAAGUCUACAAUGUUAAUACAUUUCUCUUGGUAACUUCCUUCCACUUCAUUUUCUGGUAGUUAAGGGAAGAAAUGGGAACAAGCUUUCAUGUAUUUUAUUGUCUUUUUUAAACAUUAAAAAUUUUAUUCGCAGAUAUUUUGGCACUCAUCCUGAAAUCCUCUGGGUUAUGACUAAUAUUUUUAAAUAUAUACAAUAAAAGCAACAAUAUUUACUCUGUAUUUUAUUGAAGUACUUAAAAUAAACCCCUUAAGACAUAGACUCAGAAAGGGCUAAUCACAUUCCAGAACAUACUCAUUAAAGAUGUUGUUUUGAACUC